rnacentral:rRNA from 1 species
GCGUACCUUUUGUAUAAUGGGUCAGCGACUUAUAUUCUGUAGCAAGGUUAACCGAAUAGGGGAGCCGGAGGGAAACCGAGUCUUAACCGGGCGUUAAGUUGCAGGGUAUAGACCCGAAACCCGGUGAUCUAGCCAUGGGCAGGUUGAAGGUUGGGUAACACUAACUGGAGGACCGAACCGACUAAUGUUGAAAAAUUAGCGGAUGACCUGUGGCUGGGGGUGAAAGGCCAAUCAAACCGGGAGAUAGCUGGUUCUCCCCGAAAGCUAUUUAGGUAGCGCCUCGUGAAUUCAUCUCCGGGGGUAGAGCACUGUUUCGGCUAGGGGGCCAUCCCGGCUUACCAACCCGAUGCAAACUGCGAAUACCGGAGAAUGUUAUCACGGGAGACACACGGCGGGUGCUAACGUCCGUCGUGAAGAGGGAAACAACCCAGACCGCCAGCUAAGGUCCCAAAGUCAUGGUUAAGUGGGAAACGAUGUGGGAAGGCCCAGACAGCCAGGAUGUUGGCUUAGAAGCAGCCAUCAUUUAAAGAAAGCGUAAUAGCUCACUGGUCGAGUCGGCCUGCGCGGAAGAUGUAACGGGGCUAAACCAUGCACCGAAGCUGCGGCAGCGACGCUUAUGCGUUGUUGGGUAGGGGAGCGUUCUGUAAGCCUGUGAAGGUGGCCUGUGAGGGUUGCUGGAGGUAUCAGAAGUGCGAAUGCUGACAUAAGUAACGAUAAAGCGGGUGAAAAGCCCGCUCGCCGGAAGACCAAGGGUUCCUGUCCAACGUUAAUCGGGGCAGGGUGAGUCGACCCCUAAGGCGAGGCCGAAAGGCGUAGUCGAUGGGAAACGGGUUAAUAUUCCCGUACUUGGUGUUACUGCGAAGGGGGGACGGAGAAGGCU